rnacentral:RNase_P_RNA from 1 species
GCGGAGGGUAAGGGUGAAAGGGUGCGGUAAGAGCGCACCGCGCUUCCAGCAAUGGCGGCGGCAUGGCAAACCCCACCGGGAGCAAAACCGAAUAGGGGCGGCACAUGGGCCUGAUCCGGCCCGUCGCCCGGGUUGGUUGCUUGAGGCGGCUGGUAACAGCCGUCCUAGAGGAAUGGCCGUCCAGGCGGGGCAACCCGCCGGACAGAACCCGGCUUACAGAUCCUCUGGCCUA